AAUGGCCACACUGGCUGGUCGAGGCUUGAUCUCGGUAGAUCUCAGAAGCUAAAAAAGGCCAGCUCUGAUUUGUACUUGGAUGAGAGACCACAAGGAAUAUCAGGUGAGGGGCCAGUG
rnacentral:rRNA from 1 species